UCUGGCAGCCAGCUCUCUGCAACUUUCAAUUCCACGCCCACUGAAGCCUAGUAGGGCUGCGCCUGGUCAGUACCUGGCUGGGUGACCAAAUGGGAAAGCUAGGUUGCUGCUGGAA
ensembl:rRNA 5S_rRNA 5S ribosomal RNA